rnacentral:rRNA from 1 species
UUCGCCCGAAGUGCGUUUGCCAACCAGCAAUGGARGCGRCGCCCUAAGGUGAAGCUGGUGAUUGGGACGAAGUCGUAACAAGGUARCCGUAGGUGAACCUGCAGAAGGAUCA